GGAGCAGCUCAUCUGUCCUGCGGGGGGGGGAGCACAUCAGCGCCUAAUAUGGAACUAGAAGAACAGGAGGACUUGUGGCACCUUAGUGGAACUGAUACUUGUGGAGCGGCCUAUUCGCAGCGGGGUUUGGGGGCGCGGCCCCUAGUGACGCCCAAUGGAACAGCCUGGAGCGGUCUAUCGAUCCUAAGGCGUGCGGGGAGGAGCAGCCCCUACUGGCACCGCAUGGAACUGAGUGUGGAGUGGUUCAUCUGCCCUGGGGGCGAGGGGGGGAGAACAGCUCCUAAUAGCACCCAAGAGAAGUGUCUGUGGAGCGGCCCACUCACCCCUGCGGGGUUGGCGGAGCCCCUCAAUGGAGCUGCUUGGAGCAGCCCAUCCAUCCGGGGUGCAGGGAGGAGCAGCCCCUGGUGCCUGUGGAGUGGCCCAUCUGCGCUGGGGGACAUGUGGAGCAGCUUGUGCCAGGCCACCCUGCAGUGCCCAGCUCCCCUGGAGGCCAGGCGGCCGGGCGAGAGCGAGGGUCACCCCCCCUGGGACCCACCAUGGGAUGCUGCUGCCUUCACCUCCAGACCUGGAGCCUCACCACCAGGGGGGCAAGUCCCUCCCCAGGGGCAGUGGGUGCAGAGCCCAGCCACCAGCUGCCCCGGGGAGGAGCAGGCCCAUUGCCAUGCACUGCCAAGGCUGGGAUACGAGAUGCGCGUGGCGCGCUAGUUCCUACCCAGGAUCGCCCACAAGGAGGGCAGAUGCUCUGGCCACGAUGGAUGCUCCGCCAUGAGCAAUGGAGUGCCCCAGCAUAGCGGGAGCAUACUCAGGCCCAGCACAGUGGGCCCCCAGGCAUCAACCAAGGGCUUCGACGUGGUGGCCUAGCCCAAGGACUGCUUAGAUUGUAAACGCUUUGGGCCUAGCACUCUGAGGCCUUGGGGCCUGGAGGCAUUAUCACAAUACAACCACUACCUACUGAGCAACAUUUAUUAAAAGAAAACACACAGGCACUUUGGACCAAGUCCCAUGUCUUCCUCCAUCCCUUUGGUUUAUCUUUGUGUCCAUUAGAGAUCAUUUCUUCCUACAGUAGUUUUCGGUAUAUUUGUGAUACCUACAUUUUUGACAUCUAUGUUUUUACUAGCAACAGCCUGAUGUCAAAGAAUUGAGUCCACUGCAUGUUCAAGCAGAAGAAAAGCUGUGUUUGUAGGGAUGAAAAUUCUAAUUCAAAUCGUAUGUCUCCAAUAAGUAUCAAGGUAGAUACAAAGGAAAAUGAUCAGCCAAGAUAAUGUGUAAACUUUUCCUCCCCACAAAAAUAGUUGCUCUAUUGAGAAAGUCACACUUCAAACAUCAUUUACACCAUGUAUAGGCCUGAAGUGUGUUUAGCAUCUAUUGUGGUUUCCUUUAAAAAAAAAAAAAAUCUAUGUAGAUGUAUGAACACAUACAAACAUACAGUUAUUUUACAUAUAGUCAGUGUUUAAUCAAGUUAUAAAAGUGAUAUUCUUUUAAAAAGGUGCAAAGUUUAGUUUAUGUGUUUUAAGAAGUAAAACUACAUAGGUGAGUUUGUCAUUUAAAGAGCCAUUAAUAUUUUUCACUGAGACACAAAUAAUCAAAAUGUAACAUUAGGUAUCAGAUGGCUAGUGAAAUGAACGCUAACCAUCAGUAGUGAGGAAAUGUUUUGUAAAUACUUUGGAUACAGCCUUAAUAAGCCAACAAAACAGACAAAGAUGGAAUUCACUUGGAAUUUUUAGGAAAAUUAACAUGCCAUGGGGGGGAAAAAAAGUAGAAGUUGUUGGACUUUGAUUUAAAAUUAGGAAAAAUGCCAAAGUAACAGAUCUAUGCAAUGUAGACAAUAGUAAUGGGUGACGUUUUUCUGGAGUUUAUGCUAUAAAGACUGAUACAAUGGAGUUUGGAUUAAGUGUGCCUCUAUAGCCUUUUUCAAAUAAAAAACGGAUUUUUGCAUAAUGGAAAUAUUUUUAGACCUACUGAACUUAAGCUGUGAUUCAAAAUUAAAAGAUUUCCCACCUGUACAUCUUAUUUAUAAAUAGGAUUUUUAAAAAUCAAUCAUAUUACUAUAGCAUUUUUUCAUUCUGGUGACUUUCUAUUUAUAUGCAUGUGUAUUAAAGCAGCAUUGUUAACAAUGAACAAACUUAAGUAUUUAGCUUAAACAAGUUUUAUUCAUGAAACAUUACAAAAAUGGCUUAAAACUUGAAUCCCUUCACGGUUUUCACUGAUAGCUGAGUACAGUGCUCCUUAUGUUAAGAUCUACUUGCAAGAAAAUUGAAGGGGCUUAAAGUAUGUGAAAUAUUAAUCUUUUAAGUUUAA